rnacentral:lncRNA from 1 species
GGCUGGUCUGUUAUAAUGUAGUUACGGCAGGCUGACUUGAUUCCUGCAUUUCACAUCACUGCAACACUACAUAAAGAGUUAUUACCUUCUUCAUUAGGACUCACUCUCAUUGUCUAAGUAUUUUAUUCUAAGCAAGCAUGGUUUGCCAGAGGUCUUCAGGGAGCACCAUCCACAAAGCCCCAGGAGCCCUGUCUUCCCUCCCUGUGUCAGGAAGGUCCAUGGAAGGCAUAACUGGUAGAGGGAACUUGCUGUUGACAACUGCAGCUGAUAAAGGAAAUACUGUGAGUUACUGCACUUUAUAAUUGCCCCAAAUACUCUUGAGCAUUUCUAGAUAGCAGAAGUGAUCAGUGUGUAUUGCUCUUUAU